rnacentral:rRNA from 1 species
CCGUUUUCCGCGCCGUAGCUAACGCAUUAAGUGCCCCGCCUGGGGAGUACGGCCGCAAGGCUAAAACUCAAAGGAAUUGACGGGGGCCCGCACAAGCGGCGGAGCAUGCGGAUUAAUUCGAUGCAACGCGAAGAACCUUACCAAGGCUUGACAUAUACCGGAUCGUUCCAGAGAUGGUUCUUCCCCUUUGGGGUCGGUAUACAGGUGGUGCAUGGUUGUCGUCAGCUCGUGUCGUGAGAUGUUGGGUUAAGUCCCGCAACGAGCGCAACCCUCGUUCCAUGUUGCCAGCACGUGAUGGUGGGGACUCAUGGGAGACUGCCGGGGUCAACUCGGAGGAAGGUGGGGAUGACGUCAAAUCAUCAUGCCCCUUAUGUCUUGGGCUUCACGCAUGCUACAAUGGCCGGUACAAAGGGUUGCGAUACUGUGAGGUGGAGCUAAUCCCAAAAAGCCGGUCUCAGUUCGGAUUGAGGUCUGCAACUCGACCUCAUGAACCUCAUGAAGUCGGAGUCGCUAGUAAUCGCAGAUCAGCAACGCUGCGGUGAAUACGUUCCCGGGCCUUGUACACACCGCCCGUCAAGUCACGAAAGUCGGUAACACCCGA